UAAUAAACAUAAGCCCUGUCCCCCUAUCCCUCUCUCUCUCUUUCCCCUUCUCCCAAAUGCAUAAAUUGCCACUUGCCCCUAACUUUCCGCUCUCGCCAUCAAAUAGCCUUGCUCUCUAGCUUUGGUCAGAAAGAUACCAGGUAUUGGAACAUCUUGCUAUCGAAGGAAGUACUUACCUUGGAGCACACCAAUUCAAGUCCUCCUCGUGCAGGAAUUGAAAGGUUUAGGGUGAUCAAUCUUUUACCAUGGUGAAUAACAAUCAAACCUCAAGCACGAAGAAAAGAUGAAAAUAGCC